GACGAACGCUGGCGGCGUGCUUAACACAUGCAAGUCGAACGGAAAGGCCCUGCUUUUGUGGGGUGCUCGAGUGGCGAACGGGUGAGUAACACGUGAGUAACCUGCCCUUGACUUUGGGAUAACUUCAGGAAACUGGGGCUAAUACCGGAUAGGAGCUCCUGCUGCAUGGUGGGGGUUGGAAAGUUUCGGCGGUUGGGGAUGGACUCGCGGCUUAUCAGCUUGUUGGUGGGGUAGUGGCUUACCAAGGCUUUGACGGGUAGCCGGCCUGAGAGGGUGACCGGAGAGAUUGGGACUGAGGGACGGUGGAGAGACGUAGGGGAGGAGGCGGGGGGGAAUGUUGUGGAGUGGGCGGAAGCGUGAUGGAGCAACGGGGCGGGCGGGAGGAGGGGCUUGGGGUUGUAAAAAGAUGGAGCCUGUAACGAAGCGCGAGUGGCGGGAAUGGGUAAAGAAGAAAGGGCAAAUUAGGUG
rnacentral:rRNA from 1 species